GUUUUUCGCGGUAAAUGUUC
rnacentral:sRNA from 1 species